rnacentral:rRNA from 1 species
CACUACGGCCGUGUCACCCUGAACACGCCCGAUCCCAUCUGAUCUCGAAAGCCAAGCAGGGCCGGGCCUGGUUAGUACUUGGAUGGGAGACCGCCUAGGAAGACCGGGUGCUGUAGGCG